AGAGUUUGAUCAUGGCUCAGAUUGAACGCUGGCGGCAGGCCUAACACAUGCAAGUCGAACGGUAACAGGAAGAAGCUUGCUUCUUUGCUGACGAGUGGCGGACGGGUGAGUAAUGUCUGGGAAACUGCCUGAUGGAGGGGGAUAACUACUGGAAACGGUAGCUAAUACCGCAUAACGUCGCAAGACCAAAGAGGGGGACCUUCGGGCCUCUUGCCAUCGGAUGUGCCCAGAUGGGAUUAGCUAGUAGGUGGGGUAACGGCUCACCUAGGCGACGAUCCCUAGCUGGUCUGAGAGGAUGACCAGCCACACUGGAACUGAGACACGGUCCAGACUCCUACGGGAGGCAGCAGUGGGGAAUAUUGCACAAUGGGCGCAAGCCUGAUGCAGCCAUGCCGCGUGUAUGAAGAAGGCCUUCGGGUUGUAAAGUACUUUCAGCGGGGAGGAAGGGAGUAAAGUUAAUACCUUUGCUCAUUGACGUUACCCGCAGAAGAAGCACCGGCUAACUCCGUGCCAGCAGCCGCGGUAAUACGGAGGGUGCAAGCGUUAAUCGGAAUUACUGGGCGUAAAGCGCACGCAGGCGGUUUGUUAAGUCAGAUGUGAAAUCCCCGGGCUCAACCUGGGAACUGCAUCUGAUACUGGCAAGCUUGAGUCUCGUAGAGGGGGGUAGAAUUCCAGGUGUAGCGGUGAAAUGCGUAGAGAUCUGGAGGAAUACCGGUGGCGAAGGCGGCCCCCUGGACGAAGACUGACGCUCAGGUGCGAAAGCGUGGGGAGCAAGCAGGAUUAGAUACCCUGGUAGUCCACGCCGUAAACGAUGUCGACUUGGAGGUUGUGCCCUUGAGGCGUGGCUUCCGGAGCUAACGCGUUAAGUCGACCGCCUGGGGAGUACGGCCGCAAGGUUAAAACUCAAAUGAAUUGACGGGGGCCCGCACAAGCGGUGGAGCAUGUGGUUUAAUUCGAUGCAACGCGAAGAACCUUACCUGGUCUUGACAUCCACAGAACUUUCCAGAGAUGGAUUGGUGCCUUCGGGAACUGUGAGACAGGUGCUGCAUGGCUGUCGUCAGCUCGUGUUGUGAAAUGUUGGGUUAAGUCCCGCAACGAGCGCAACCCUUAUCUUUUGUUGCCAGCGGUCCGGCCGGGAACUCAAAGGAGACUGCCAGUGAUAAACUGGAGGAAGGUGGGGAUGACGUCAAGUCAUCAUGGCCCUUACGACCAGGGCUACACACGUGCCACAAUGGCGCAUACAAAGAGAAGCGACCUCGCGAGAGCAAGCGGACCUCAUAAAGUGCGUCGUAGUCCGGAUUGGAGUCUGCAACUCGACUCCAUGAAGUCGGAAUC
rnacentral:rRNA from 1 species